UACGAGGGGGGCAAGCGUUGUUCGGAUUUAUUGGGCGUAAAGGGUGCGUAGGCGAUUUGGCAAGUCUUAUGUGAAAUCUUCAAACUCAACCCGAAGUCUGCAUAAGAAACUGCCGGGCUUAAAUAUGGGAGAGGUGAGUGGAAUUUCCGGUGUAGCGGUGAAAUGCGUAGAUAUCGGAAGGAACACCUGUGGCGAAAGCGGCUCACUGGACCAUAACUGACGCUGAGGCACGAAAGCUAGGGGAGCAAACAGG
rnacentral:rRNA from 1 species